CCAAUAGCGUAUAUUAAAGUUGUUGCAGUUAAAAAGCUCGUAGUUGAAUUUCGGAAUCAGUACGCUGGUCGUGCCUUCGGUAUGUACUGGUGUCACUGAUUCCUCCCUUCUGACGAACCAUCAUGCCAUUCACUUGGUGUGGUGGGGAAUCAGGACUGUUGCUUGGAAAAAAUUAGAGGGUUUAAAGCAGGCGCGCGCUUGAAUACAUUAGCAUGGAAUAAUGAAAUAGGACGUUAAUCCUAUUUUGUUGGUUUCUAGGAUCGACGUAAUGAUUAAUAGGGAUAGUUGGGGGCAUUAGUAUUCAAUUGUCAGAGGUGAAAUUCUUGGAUUUAUUGAAGACUAACUACUGCGAAAGCAUUUGCCAAGGAUGUUUUCAUUAAUCAAGAACGAAAGUUAGGGGAUCGAAGACGAUCAGAUACCGUCGUAGUCUUAACCAUAAACUAUGCCGACUAGGGAUCGGAUGAUGUUAAUUUUUUAAUGACUCAUUCGGCGCCUUACG
rnacentral:rRNA from 1 species